rnacentral:rRNA from 1 species
GAUGAACGCUGGCGGCGUGCCUAAUACAUGCAAGUCGAGCGAACAGACGAGGAGCUUGCUCCUCUUACGUUAGCGGCGGACGGGGGAGUAAAACGUGGAUAACCUACCUAUAAGACUGGGAUAAAUUCGGGAAACCGGAGCUAAUACCGGACAAAAUAUUGAACCGCAUGGUUCAAUAGUGAAAGACGGUUUUGCUGUCACUUAUAGAUGGAUCCGCGCCGCAUUAGCUAGUUGGUGAGGUAACGGCUUACCAAGGCAACGAUGCGUAGCCGACCUGAGAGAGUGAUCGGCCACACUGGAACGGAGACACGGUCCAGACUCCUACGGGAGGCAGCAGUAGGGAAUCUUCCGCAAUGGGCGAAAGCCUGACGGAGCAACGCCGCGUGAGUGAUGAAGGUCUUCGGAUCGUAAAACUCUGUUAUUAGGGAAGAACAAAUGUGUAAGUAACUAUGCACGUCUUGACGGUACCUAAUCAGAAAGCCACGGCUAACUACGUG